rfam:Clostridium celatum DSM 1785 genomic scaffold Scfld153, whole genome shotgun sequence.
UGACCUACCUUACAAGUCGUUAAACUGUAAAAGGCAAUAUGAGAAGCGACCUCGUAAAAAGCGUA